GAUGAACGCUAGCGGCAGGCUUAAUACAUGCAAGUCGAGGGGCAGCAUGGUGUAGCAAUACACUGAUGGCGACCGGCAAACGGGUGCGGAACACGUACGCAACCUACCCAAAACUGGGGGAUAGCCCACCGAAAGGUGGAUUAAUACCUCGUAACCUCUUUGAGUGGCAUCACUCGAUGAGUAUAGUUCCGGCGGUUUUGGAUGGGCGUGCGCCUGAUUAGGUAGUUGGCGGGGUAACGACCCACCAAGCCUUGGAUCAGUAACUGGUGUGAGAGCACGACCAGUCACACGGGCACUGAGACACGGGCCCGACUCCUACGGGAGGCAGCAGUAAGGAAUAUUGGUCAGUGGACGCAAGUCUGAACCAGCCAUGCCGCGUGAAGGAUGAAGGUCCUCUGGAUUGUAAACUUCUUUUAUCUGGGACGAAACCCGGGCAUUCUUGCCCGAUUGACGGUACCAGAGGAAUAAGCACCGGCUAACUCCGUGCCAGCCGCCGCGGUAAGAC
rnacentral:rRNA from 1 species